AAAAGAGAAAGCUAGAAAGUUGCAAAUUUCCAUUGAUCCUAGAAUGAGCAAAUCAGCUGUGCAUCAUCUCUGGGAUUUAGGCAGGAAAUGACUGAAUAUGGAGGAUGAAGCCCGUUGAUGAAGAUAUCAAUUCAAUGGCCACCAAGUGAAGCACUGCUGCCUGAACCCAUCAGAUAUCUGCUGUGAAGACUGCAUUCACGAACAACUCUUCUGUGACAGCGCAGAAGUUACAGCCCAUAAAAGAAACAAGAUAGUGGUGGAGGGAUUCUUUUAGCCCAUACCUCCAACAAGAAUCAAUGGACAUCAAGACCGGGACUGUCAGAGACUCCAGCCACCCGAGCCAUGGAUUGCUCUCACCGUUACCAACAGGCAGAUGUUAUCGCAGAACCUUCACCAGCAGACUGCAAGACAAGUUCUUUCCACAGACUGAACUGAAC